rnacentral:rRNA from 1 species
UACGUAGGGUGCGAGCGUUGUCCGGAAUUAUUGGGCGUAAAGAGCUCGUAGGCGGUUUGUCACGUCUGCUGUGAAAUCCCGAGGCUCAACCUCGGGCCUGCAGUGGGUACGGGCAGGCUGGAGUUCGGUAGGGGAGACUGGAAUUCCUGGUGUAGCGGUGAAAUGCGCAGAUAUCAGGAGGAACACCGGUGGCGAAGGCGGGUCUCUGGGCCGAUACUGACGCUGAGGAGCGAAAGCGUGGGGAGCGAACAGG